rnacentral:other from 1 species
GCUAAGGACAGUUCAGGACAUGGCGGGAUGCCGGCUGCAGUAUACAGGAUGACACUGCUCAGGAAGAGACAGGGAUACUUUCAGAACGAAAGCAGGGACACCGCCAGGAAGGUCGAAGAGAGUUAUUUCAGGAUGAAGUAACGGAUCAGGAGAUCAACGGACACGUUCAGGAUGAGCGUUCAAUGGAAAAUCGCCGACGGAUUCCGGCGCAUCAAAGGAUUGAGGCAGGGAGCCUAUGUGUAGCAGGAUUGCUGCAAGUAAGACCUAAGGGCGCAACGAAAGUUGCGCCCGUUUUAUUUUGU